UCACUUUUAAUCUAAAUAACACGCCUAACCGUAAUCGUUUCCUCAACACCGGCCGUCCUAGUUUCCACUUUCUCUCCAUGUUCUCUCAAAUCCUGCAACCCCAUCAAUGAACACACGUUGCAUGAAUCGUGAAAGGUCACUCCAAUCAAACCUAAACAUACAUUUUAUUCCUGUAAGCUGCGAAUCCUGCUGAUCCCUUUCCCAAAUCCUCAGUAACCCAAGAUUUUUUUAUCCAACAAGAUCAUCCUUUCUUAAAAUUUUCAAUUGUAGGCAUGCACAGACAUUAUCUUUGGCCUCAUCAUCAUUAAUUGUUGUCCAGAAGUCAGAUGCAAUGACCUCUAGACAUUAGAUUUUGACCGAUGGUCCGAUUUCUUCAACAAUCAACCUCAACCAUUAUCGUGCUAAGGUUCGGCUUCAACCUCUGUGAGUUGAUCGUUGUGACUUCUGGGUUCUUAAAUGGAUAUUAGCACAUCUGGCUUGGUUUGCUGCUCAACAGAAGGGCCUGUUCAGUUCAUUUGGAACUCAGGCCCAUAUUCCAGACCUGGGCCGCUUCCUCUACACUUGUUGAGUCAGCCGCUAAUUUAAACCUCACUGGGCCUCGCCUGCUUACUAGCCGUAUUCCACAAGUCCAGCUUUUCUUCCUCUACUUUUAAUGAUAGCCGCUAUUAUUUGUUGCUUCUGUGUAUGUACAUCUUUGGAAAACUAACACUAUUUAUUGAUGCUUACCGCUAACGAAUUUCAAUGGCUUUAAGUUUUGACAGAUUCAAAAUGAAUAAAUCUCCUUGGAAAAUCUUCAAAUGGAUCCCGUAUAAUACAAAAUCAUUUCAAAAUAAAAGCAGUCACACACACAACCAAGUUUGUAAGAAAUAACAAAUGAGCUUGAAGAUACAAAGGCCUUCUACUAAAGCAAUCUUCUAAAAAAGAACAAGGUAUACCCGCUUCAACCAAAAAAACAUAUUUUUUGAGGUAAUCUCUUGUUCCAUAAGUUAUAAAGUCUCACAAACAAAUAUUACUCUUUCAAAAGGAAAUACACCACCUUUUCCUAAAAAAUAAGUUUUCAAAUAAGGCUUAAAAUUUUUUUUCUAAAUUUUACUUAGCAACAUUAACCACUAAUCAACUGGAAUAUAGACAUUGCUUUCCCCAAACCUAACCUAUGUUUAAGGAGCUACCUCAGGUAGAUUUUAAGGGAUGCCUAACCCCUUCCCCUUAUA